UCCGGUGGUUAUUUCAACGGUGUCAUACCCGAUCCCAUCCCGAACUCGGAAGUCAAGCCCGUUAGAGCCGAUGGUAGUUGGACCGCAGGGUCCCGCAAGAGUAGGUCGCUGCCGGAU
rfam:Candidatus Endomicrobium sp. Rsa215, complete genome.